rnacentral:rRNA from 1 species
UACGAAGGGGGCUAGCGUUGCUCGGAAUCACUGGGCGUAAAGCGCACGUAGGCGGCUUUGCAAGUUAGAGGUGAAAGCCCGGGGCUCAACUCCGGAAUUGCCUUUAAAACUGCAUCGCUAGAAUUGUGGAGAGGUAAGUGGAAUUCCGAGUGUAGAGGUGAAAUUCGUAGAUAUUCGGAAGAACACCAGUGGCGAAGGCGACUUACUGGACACAUAUUAACGCUGAGGUGCGAAAGCGUGGGGAGCAAACAGG